rnacentral:rRNA from 1 species
GAUGAACGCUGGCGGCGUGCCUAAUACAUGCAAGUCGAGCGAACGGACGAGAAGCUUUCUUCUCUGAUGUUAGCGGCGGACGGGUGAGUAACACGUGGAUACCCUACCUAUAAGACUGGGAUAACUUCGGGAAACCGGAGCUAAUACCGGAUCAUAUUUUGAACCGCAUGGUUCAAAAGUGAAAGACGGUCUUGCUGUCACUUAUAGAUGGAUCCGCGCUGCAUUAGCUAGUUGGUAAGGUAACGGCUUACCAAGGCAACGAUGCAUAGCCGACCUGAGAGGGUGAUCGGCCACACUGGAACUGAGACACGGUCCAGACUCCUACGGGAGGAAGCAGUAGGGAAUCUUCCGCAAUGGGCGAAAGCCUGACGGAGCAACGCCGCGUGAGUGAUGAAGGUCUUCGGAUCGUAAAACUCUGUUAUUAGGGAAGAACAUAUGUGUAAGUAACUGUGCACAUCUUGACGGUACCUAAGCAGAAAGCCACGGCUAACUACGUG